AUGACUGAGAAGGCGGUGUGGGAUGAUGCCCAUCUCAAGAAACUCAUUGAAAUAUUGAGAGAAGAGGUUGAAAAGGGGAAUAGGCCAUUAGGUUAUUUAAACAAGAGGGGUUGGGAAAACGUUUUGGAGAAAUGGGAAGCUAGAACGGGAAAGAAGUAUCCCAAGGAUAAAUUCAAAAACAAGUGGGAUGCCAUAAAAAAUGAGUACACUUGGUUCAUGGAGUUGAAAAAUGAAGCAACUGGGCUUGGAUGGGAUGAUGCGAAGAGAACCGUUGAUUGCUCUAAAGAAUGGUGGGAUGAACAUAUCAAAAGAUGCCAAGAGAGUACAGGAAAGAAAUGCAAUCAUAUGAAGUUCAAAAAACAGGGACCAAAGCACCUUGAAGAUUUGCACAUCAUAUUUGACAAAGUACAUGUUACUGGGGCUAGUGCUUCUUGUGCUGGAGAUAUAUCUUCUGAUGAAUCAAGUGAUGAUAAUGCGGUUCCUUUCGAGAAGCCCGAUGGUAGUGCUCAAAUGAAGUUGGCAUCUUCGAAGAAACCAAAACCAAGCAAGAAGCGCAAGCAACCUUCUAACGCAAAUGAGGAGAAGGAAGAGAAGAGUCCAUUCUUAUGA
rnacentral:rRNA from 1 species